rnacentral:rRNA from 1 species
GUCACGGCCAUGCCACCCUGAACAAGCCCCAUCUCGUCUGAUCUCGGACGCUAAGCAGGGUUGGGCCUGGUUAGUACUUGGAUGGAAGACCACCUAGGAAGACUAGGUGCUGCAGGCA